UACGGAGGGGACUAGCGUUGUUCGGAAUUACUGGGCGUAAAGCGCACGUAGGCGGAUUUGUAAGUCAGGGGUGAAAUCCCGGGGCUCAACCUCGGAACUGCCUUUGAUACUGCAAAUCUCGAGUCCGGGAGAGGUGAGUGGAAUUCCUAGUGUAGAGGUGAAAUUCGUAGAUAUUAGGAAGAACACCAGUGGCGAAGGCGGCUCACUGGCCCGGUACUGACGCUGAGGCGCGAAAGCGUGGGGAGCAAACAGGG
rnacentral:rRNA from 1 species